GAUGAACGCUGGCGGCGUGCCUAAUACAUGCCAGUCGAGCGAACGGCCCAGCAGCUUGCUUUUCUGCUGUUAGCGGCGGGCGGGUGAGUACCACGUUGAUCACCUCCUUAUUAUAGUGGGACAACUUCGGACAACCGGUGCUACUACCGGAUAAUAUCUUCUACCUCAUGGGGCAUGGGAAAAAUCCGCUGUUGGUGUCGGUCAUGCGUGUUUUCGCGCUGCAUUAGCUAGUUGGUAAGGUAACGGCUUACCAAGGCAACGAGGCAUAGCCGAUCUGCGAGGGUGAUCGGCCACACGGGAAGGGGGACACGGUCCAUACGCCUACGGGAGGCACCAGUAGGGAAUCUUCCGCAAUGGGCGAAAGCAUGACGGAGCAAGCCGGCGUGAGUUAUGAAGACGUUCGGAGCGUAAUGCUCUGUUAUGAGGUAAGAACAGAUGUGUAAGGAACUGUGCAGAUCUUGACGGUAACUAAUAAGAAAGCAACGGCUAACUACGUG
rnacentral:rRNA from 1 species